rnacentral:lncRNA from 10 species
CGGAACCUUCUAACCUUGCGCGACUUUAGAAGCUGGCCCGGCCCGCCAGUGCCUUUGGCUUUAGGAGGUAGCAAACAGGAUGGGGCCGGCAGCGCCGUUCCGGAACCAUAGGGGGCUCCUGGGAAGCUACCAUCGCGAACAAGGCGCGGCUGCGUUGGCCCUUGGCUCCAGCCUGGCAAGCUGAGGUGAAAGCCCUGGAAUAAGGGGUUCCAUAAGACAAAAGGAAGAUGAAAUGAAGCAACCUCUCGUGCUAAUGGAAUAUUUUCUAUGGUGGAAUAAUCUCUGCAAGGAAAAUGCUAUAAAACUGUGAAGAGAGAAGCAGAGCAAUCAUGCUGAUAUCAGAUCUGCCAUUUAUGUGGAUUAGUGUCCUGAAGCCCUUUAGUCAAGACCUUCCUAUCGCCCAUCUCAGAAGCAUAAAAGUGUGACAGGAUUUUCAGUAGGAACACAACCAAGUAUUGAAGUAUGCUCAGAUGGGAUUUGAGUUUCUGAGGCUAUCACUCAUUCCUCCCCGAAUAAGCAGAAGCAAACAGUAGAUGGAGCCUGGAUUUUGCUUGGAUUCAGCUUCCUCAUUGUUCCAGUACGGCUUUUUACCACAUCUUGGUGUCUCAGUUAUGAA